GAUGAACGCUAGCUACAGGCUUAACACAUGCAAGUCGAGGGGCAGCAUGGUCUUAGCUUGCUAAGACUGAUGGCGACCGGCGCACGGGUGAGUAACACGUAUCCAACCUGCCGUCUACUCUUGGACAGCCUUCUGAAAGGAAGAUUAAUACAAGAUGGCAUCAUGAGUCCGCAUGUUCACAUGAUUAAAGGUAUUCCGGUAGACGAUGGGGAUGCGUUCCAUUAGAUAGUAGGCGGGGUAACGGCCCACCUAGUCUUCGAUGGAUAGGGGUUCUGAGAGGAAGGUCCCCCACAUUGGAACUGAGACACGGUCCAAACUCCUACGGGAGGCAGCAGUGAGGAAUAUUGGUCAAUGGGCGAGAGCCUGAACCAGCCAAGUAGCGUGAAGGAUGACUGCCCUAUGGGUUGUAAACUUCUUUUAUAAAGGAAUAAAGUCGGGUAUGCAUACCCGUUUGCAUGUACUUUAUGAAUAAGGAUCGGCUAACUCCGUGCCAGCAGCCGCGGUAAUACGGAGGAUCCGAGCGUUAUCCGGAUUUAUUGGGUUUAAAGGGAGCGUAGAUGGAUGUUUAAGUCAGUUGUGAAAGUUUGCGGCUCAACCGUAAAAUUGCAGUUGAUACUGGAUAUCUUGAGUGCAGUUGAGGCAGGCGGAAUUCGUGGUGUAGCGGUGAAAUGCUUAGAUAUCACGAAGAACUCCGAUUGCGAAGGCAGCCUGCUAAGCUGCAACUGACAUUGAGGCUCGAAAGUGUGGGUAUCAAACAGGAUUAGAUACCCUGGUAGUCCACACGGUAAACGAUGAAUACUCGCUGUUUGCGAUAUACUGCAAGCGGCCAAGCGAAAGCGUUAAGUAUUCCACCUGGGGAGUACGCCGGCAACGGUGAAACUCAAAGGAAUUGACGGGGGCCCGCACAAGCGGAGGAACAUGUGGUUUAAUUCGAUGAUACGCGAGGAACCUUACCCGGGCUUAAAUUGCAGAUGAAUUACGGUGAAAGCCGUAAGCCGCAAGGCAUCUGUGAAGGUGCUGCAUGGUUGUCGUCAGCUCGUGCCGUGAGGUGUCGGCUUAAGUGCCAUAACGAGCGCAACCCUUGUUGUCAGUUACUAACAGGUUCCGCUGAGGACUCUGACAAGACUGCCAUCGUAAGAUGUGAGGAAGGUGGGGAUGACGUCAAAUCAGCACGGCCCUUACGUCCGGGGCUACACACGUGUUACAAUGGGGGGUACAGAGGGCCGCUACCACGCGAGUGGAUGCCAAUCCCCAAAACCUCUCUCAGUUCGGACUGGAGUCUGCAACCCGACUCCACGAAGCUGGAUUCGCUAGUAAUCGCGCAUCAGCCACGGCGCGGUGAAUACGUUCCCGGGCCUUGUACACACCGCCCGUCAAGCCAUGGGAGCCGGGGGUACCUGAAGCGCGUAACCGCGAGGAGCGCCCUAGGGUAAAACUGGUGACUGGGGCUAAGUCGUAACAAGGUAGCCGUACCGGAAGG
rnacentral:rRNA from 1 species